UUGACUAGACCAAAAUAUCGCCUAGAAAAAGACUGGACCAAAAUAUCGUCAAGAAGGCUCUAGCACAGCUCUUCUCCCCUGCUUUUCAGUGGCAGCACCAUCGCAUGCGCUCGUCGCUGGCUCGGCUGCGUACCACCGCCAACCAUAGCUUCAGCGGAUGGAAGAUGUAUGCCGCAGCGUCUCUACCGAUCUCUUUUUCCGAAUGGAUUUGAGGGAGCCUUCAGCCCUUCACAGGUAAAAUCCCUAAUUUUUGUGCAUCUCACAUGAGGUAAAUGUCAUCCCAGAUUAGAAAUUGUUGGGUAAACUCUCCAUGCCACAACCACGCUCAAGAUUUAGUAAAGAAGAUAUUUAAAUCUCCUUGCUGCAGGAACUUUUUCUUGGAUCUGCUACAAAAUAGAUUGAGAAUUGGGGACUAUUCAUUAGAGGGAUUAGAGUUGGUAUCGUGAUCUUCUGGAAGUAUGUGGUAUGAGAGAGAUGAUGUUAUAUUUAGUAGAGUUGAUAUCCAUUGCCAAAUGAAAAAGGUACGAUCUGUAUUUUUUGCUCUCAGAAAUUACUUCUAAGUUUAUAUAAAUAUUAAUGUAGAAAGAACUUAUGUGUACAAACAUGAUAGAGUUUGUUCACGCAUACAGAACUGAUGAACAGAAAUUUAUAUAUUUUAUUGAAAGAUUAAAGAUCCAUAUGUACGCAUACAUUUAUUCACUCGAGGAGGCUAAUGCCUAUGUUUUUAGAGAGACAAAUUGACGAGAUUUGGGGAAUCGGAAACUAUUUGUGAGAGAGAUGUGAGUGUUAGAUUGUGAGAGAUUAGUAAUGGCUAUUUAGGGGAAUUAAUUUGUGAACUUUCUAUAGAACGUUUUUAAAAGAUUUGGAUUUUGAGAUUAACCGUGAAUAUAUUUUAGUUGUGGGUCGUGGCUAUAAUGUGGGAGAUUGCGAAAAGCUUAUUGUAGGUGGAAUCCAUUAGUGAUUUCAUUGUUUCAUCUGCUGCGAUAUUUUUUGUGUUAAAAAUAUUCAAGGAUAAAUAACUAAUUUUAAAUUUAAUAUUUUACAGAAAGAUCAAACAUAUAUAUCUAUGGAUUAAUAAUUAUUUAAAAAUUUAACAUGCCAACCAAGUAAAUGUGUUGUUCAAAAUGUAUGGUAAGGUUGUCUGUGACUCUAUGUAAUUAUACAUGAAUUGUCUAAUGACUUGAGGAACUUCACUAUCAAUUAAAAAAUCUCUUUGUAAACAAUAUUCUUUGCGACAUCUUCGGUUGGACACUCUUCGUCAUCGAUCAGCACCUUCAAUCCUUCCUUGUUUGUCACUCUUGAUAGUGCCACAUAUAGUUGUCCAUGGCAGAACACUUGCUUAGGCAAAUAUAUGCCUACCUUGUUUAAGGACUGACCUUGGCUCUUGUUUAUUGUCAUUGCGAAGCACACUGAUAAUGGAUAUUGCCUUCUUUUCAGCACGAAUGGCCAUUUUGAGUCGCUUGGUGACAUGAUGAUUCGAGGUAUGUAUACCUUAUCGCCGACAUGUGUUCCUGUGAUUAUUUGUGUCUCGAUGUAUUUGUUUCCAAGUUGUGUAAUUGUCAUUCUUGUACCGUUGCAUAAGCCUACUGCUUGGUUGAUGUUGCGUAGGAGCAUGACCGGUAAACCUACCUUCAGUUUUAACUUAUGGUCUGGUAUUCCUGGGGACGUUAAGGUGUUGAGGAGCUCAGUAGGCUGCAUGUUCAUCAUGAUGUUGGUAUUUGUCAUUGCCUUGCACACUGUGUCCAGGCUUAGGUAUGUCACCUCUUCACCUUGUAUUUGGCUCAUCAUGUGGUCAUUUAUCUCCUUGACUGUAUCAUUUCUUGGACAUAGUAUUUCUCUUUCUUCUAGGUAAUCCCGCUCACGGUAUUUUUGCAGCAAAUUUGGGUACAUGCUUUUGACGAUUUGUUCUUUACGAUUUUCUCCUUUCUCUAGCAGUAGGUCUUUUGGUAUUUUUAUCCAAUCCUCCCCUUCAUCUGAUGUUGUUUUGCCAUCGCCAAUCUCUAGUAUCCACUCUGCAAAUUCAGCGACCUUUUGCUUUUGUAUUGGAUCAUCUGACAAACACUUCAGCCGCAUGUUUUGUGUUAACUCAAAUAUUUCAAAGUGUUUCCACAGAUAUGACCUUUUGAUUGAAGCAUUUACUAUCUGCUCUCUCCUUCCUUUGGUUAUAACUGGCAGGAUUUGUCUGAAGUCGCCUCCUAGUAUAACUGUCAUUCCACCAAAUGGCUUUUCAUCGCUGUUUUCAUUAGUGAACCUUAGAAUAUCUCUCAGGCUUUUGUCUAGUGCCUCGAAGCAGUGUUUGUUUGCCAUAGGAGCCUCGUCCCACAAUUUAAGUGAGGUCUUCUUUAGCAGUUCAGCCAAAUGCGAGCCUUGUUUUAUUUCACACGUUGAUUCUUCAGUGAUAUUAAGUGGAAUACGGAACCUUGAGUGUGCUGUUCUUCCACCUUGGAGAAGCAACGCUGCAAUGCCACAUGAUGCUACCGCAAGCACUACCUUCCCCUCUGAUCUUAGCUUUGUCGUUAUUGCUUUCCAUAGAUAGGUUUUUCCUGUGCCACCGUAGCCUUCGACAAAUAUCUGCUUUCCUAGGCCUUUGUCGACCGACUCCAUUAUUGCAUCAUAGGCCUUUUUCUGGUCUUGGUUAAGAUUGUUUAGUAUGAUUUUGUGCUCAUCCUUGAGUUUGUCCAUGUCGUAGUUGACCUCUUCGUUUAUUAGUCUGUUCCCAAGUUCUUCUAGCUCUACGGCAUUUGGUAGUUCUAUGUCUGGAUAGUCCUUUAGUGACUUUCCUACUUGCCUCAUCAGUUUUUUUAUCUCAAUCAGACCAUACGCUUUCUUCUGUGUGUUUGUAAGCCAAAGUGUUGGAAAGUUUAGAAUAGUCCUUCUUUUGUAUUGCAUAUCUUCACACAACGCCUCCCAUGUUGAAUCCCACAAUACCUUUGGGUUUGUGACUUCGCAAUGGGACAAUAUGGCGGUGAAUAACUGACGCAGUUGUGUUCCGGAAGCCCAACUUGAUGCUUCAUUGAUACAGUCAAUCCACUCGGUGUCAUCAUCGAGAAAUCCGAGGGCUUGGCAUGCUGAUUUGUAUGUUGGGUGAAUGACUCCAUCAACGGUCCUAAUGUCCUCAAAUGAUGUGCAUCCUUUCUUGGUGUUUAGAAGCAUCCUCAUAUGAAAUCUCUCGCCACUUGCGGGAUGUGCAUAGUAGAUUCUUCCAAUUGCGUAGUCCUUUUUUUCGCUUCUGCCAACAUUUUGUUUCGCUUUUCCAUACAAACUUUGUAGGGAAUUCUGCGUAAGUCAAUCCUUUUCCUAGAUCAUAUAUUUUAUUUGCCUCCAUCCACUGAGUGAACUUGGUGAUUUUAUAUCCGUCCCUUGUUACUAUCUUUUCAAGACUAGUGGAGUCUGGAAAAACGACUUGUUGCUCAUUUUCAAGAUGGAAAGGUAGCCUCUCAACUGCUGGAUCGCGAUACUGAAGAUCAAACUGAAAUAUCCUCCAGCAUGCUUCUGAUGUUGAUGUGUAUCUCAUCUCUAGGUAUUUCUUGAUCUCGUCAGUUUCGUUUGCCGUGCCACUUUCCUUGAGCAAGGUUGUAACAUGGUCGUCAUCUUUAUGGAUAUACUUAAAUAGGUACUUGAUUGAUCUGGACCUAUUGCACCACUCAACAUUUAUGUGAGCUUGAUACUUGACCAGAAGGUUCCGGUUGUAUGGCACGACAAAUCUGUUGUCGAGCAUCACCCCUCCCUUUUUGAUCUGCCUUCCAUCAUCCCUCCUUUUAUAUACUGGAAAUCCGUCCUCGUCAAUGGUAGUGCUAACAUUGUAUCUUUUUGGGAAAUGCUUGGUGCAUCUAUGGUCCACCAUGCAUGGUGAGUUUUUCUUAGCCUCUCCGCACGGGCCAUGCAUCAUGAAGUUCUCAACAGCUUCAAAUGCCUCUGGAUCCUCAUCCUUGUUUGGGAUUUCAGCGCUUAUUAUUUUGUCGAUUUGCGAUGGUUCCGGGUACUUGUCUUUGUCCUUCAAAAAUAUUAGUAUGUGCGCAUGCGGGAGUCCUCUCUUCUGGAAUUCUAUUGUGUAGAUGACUGCAAUUGAUUAAUAGUUUGUCAGAUUUAGCUUAAAUUGGAAUGCAUGUUACUAAAGAGCUAGAAUCUGACGGAGUAUAAGAUGAUGCAUGUUUCUAAAGAGCAACAGUCUGACGGACUAUAAGAUGAUGCAAGAAAGAGUAAAGAUUGAUAGUCAAUGGGACUUACUUGCAACUAUUUCUCCAAAGUAUUUCUUUUCUUUUAUGUCUCUCAUUAGCUCCUUUAGUUUGAUCAUAAAUACUCUGUCCACAAUGUCUGGCCGAUCGGCUGGCUUUUGGCCACCUCCCGCUUCAUCUAGCAUGUAUUGGAUCUCAGGCCACUUUGCAUUGCAUGUGAAUGUUAUAAAUAGGUCUGGGUAUCCAGCCCAACGGCAUAUUGCAAAGGCAUCUUGCAAAUAUUGUGCCUUGUUUCUUCUACCACCUGUAAAAGAUGAAGGCACAAUUAUCCUCUUUCCAACUUGCUCUGUUCUUGUGUCCCCUCGCUCAAUCGCAUCCUGCAAUCCACUGUAAAGUUCAGUUCGUAGCUUUCCUUGAUUGUGUCGGAUCCAGUUUAGUCUAUUUUGCUCGAUACAUGUGUAUACAUCCACCCAAAAUUGCAGUGACAAAUGCCCGGACUUGAGUAGUAACAUUCCUUGAUCAGGACGUUGCUAUAGGUAGAAUGCAUAGUAGUCCAACAACGUUACGUAUUUCCUGCUGUUUGUACCUCCUUUUGUUUUCUUGUAGGGUAUCUCAAGUUUAAAACCAUCUUCUCCAUAUGGGAACAACAACGGAUAUUGCAUGGACAUGAAUUUCGGGUGGAUCUCUGAUAUCCUUUGCAGCUCCAUAUUUUUGUACUCAACAACAAUGUCACGUCCUUCACUCUCUCUGGUUGGAUCUCUUACUACCAAUGCUGCAACUUCAGAUGCGGAUGGAAGGUUGUGUGUUCCAUUCCUUUUGCCUAGUAUCCGAAGUGUGUAAUCAUGGUAGUCUCCUUCUUGGAAUCUAUCUCUUGCCAUUCUGAAGGUUUUUGCGAGGAUGUUGUUGUCGUCGAGCAUUAUUUUCAGUUCUUUGACGAUGUUGGGGUCCACUGUUGAUUUUUUAUCAUUGCAUCUUGACGCACUUAUCCUGUUUUCCACCUCAUUUUUGGUAUUACAGAUGUAUAGCUGUGCAAACCGAGGUUUGUCUGUACCUUGAGGCAAAAGAGUUCCGAUAUGGUGGUAGUUUUGUCCAUGCAAACGAAAAACAUAAGGUCCUUUGCGAGUGUUUAUUUCCUUGUCCACAGCUCCUCCCAUCGAUGUGAAUGAAAACAUUGAGUUGUAUGACCUUAUAUUUUCUUUGAAGUUUACCGAAUCCUGCCCUUCACUUCUUAAGAGGUUUCUAAGGUAUGGUGGAGGUUCUCUUAGUGGCGGCAGAUCGAUUUUCCCUUGUUUGCAGCAUAUUCCAAAAGAGGGUGCCGUAGUUCCUUUGUUUGAAUUUAAUCUUUCUUCACACCAUAGCAAUGCUUUGCAAUAUUGGCAUUUGUAUGUUGGCCUUCCGAAGUUCCAUGGCUUGCUAUUAGAACUUGUCGAGGUUCUGGUUCUGUUGUUGUCUCCAACAUUGACUCUAGUGUUGUUUUUGUUGGUUUCGCUUUUGGCGCGCUUCAAUUCCCUAUCUUCUUCAGCAUUAGCCUUUCUCAAUCAUUUAGGAGCCUCUUGUCCAGACCCCGACUCGAUGACACAUCGAUCUAGCCUAUAACACCUCAUAUCACUUUGCGGCCUCACGCACGGUAUCCCCACGGGUGUCGCCUUACCUUUGCCCGGGACCGUUUGCGCCUUUUGGCUCACGUAUAUGAUAGUGUUGCUAGCAUCCAUAUGUUAAGGAGCCCGGGCUGACAUGACUAGUUGUAAACCCAAAGUGGCACAGACUUACAGGGACAUGCAUCCAUGACCCAGCUUCGAACGUGUUGGUCAUCAGCAAGAGGGUCCGGGCUGUAGCACUGGGCUAGCAGGACUCCGGUAAACCGGGCUGUAGCGGGCUAACAGGACUCCGGUACUCAAUGCGUGACAUUUCCCCGAAGGGACAGACACCGGAACGAAGGACACAUGCCGGCCAGCCUAAGUGUUCCAGAGCAGUAGCAAGCUGCCAUGGCUCAGUGGUAACACUAGGAGACAUUUCCUGGUAAGAGAGGCUACUAAAGAUAAACAACUAGAUAGUCAGAUCCCACACAUACCAAGCAUUUCAAUAACAUACACAUAGUAUGCUCGAUAUGUGCAAAUACAACAUGGCAUCACAACAUGACUCUACGACACAAGUACUUUAUUUAAGGCUCAGGGAACCAUACAUAAUCAUACACACAGGUACGGGUCACACGACCCAGCAUUCAAGUCAUACAGUCAUACAAACCAGCAGCGGAAGUAACUUGUCUGAGUACAGACAACUAGUAAAAUAAAAGAGGCUUGGAAAGCCUAGCUAUACUACGUGGUCCUUCACAAGCUCAGGAUCACCACCUGGGCCUUAGCCUACUCAUUGAUGUCAACGUCUAUGUAGAACCCAUCAGAAGGGGUUGCAGCGUCUUCUGUAAAAAAUGUAAAUUAUAGCAACAUGAGUACAAAGGUACUCAGCAAGACUUACAUCAGAUCCUACAUACAUGCAUAUUAUCAAGAAGGGUUGGUGGAGUUGUUGCAGCAAGCCAGCUUUGACUCUUGGCUAGGCUAACCUACGAGACUCCAACUUGAAAUGGUUUUGCGUACACGAGUCCACUACUCACCAAUUCAAUACACUACCGAGGAUCCACCUCCAUCUUCCUACGGAAGAGCCAUCCUCGGCACUCACACUUAUCUUGAGGCUUUUAGUAGUUUCCGUUUACUUGUCUAUGAACUGUAUAGGCAACCAAGUAGUCCUUUACCGCGGACGCGGCUAUUCGAAUAGAUCAUGAUAACCCUGCAGGGGUGUACUUCUUCAUACAUGUUUCCACCACUUAGCGUCUGCACACAACAUGUGCUCGGCAGACUUCAAGCGAAAGCCGACGUGGGUGUAGACCACGACCUACCUAAACACCUAAGCCUCUAGUCCAGGUUUAUCGCCUAUCCAGGUUCCAUCGGCAGGGAGUCCGGCCGAGGUUUCCCAUACGGCCCCGAACGAUGUGAACAGGGUUCCCGAGAUACCUAACAGGUAUUUGGUACACCCGGCCACGUACCUACCGCAUCACAGCCCACCCCUACGGUCAGCGCUGUCCACGGCCUCCAGUAGGCUACAAACACCAGAAACUACUUGCAACUCCUGGACAGAGAUCUAGGGUGAAUAAGAAGUCGAGCGGGGUCAUAUUUCAGGGCCCAAUGCAUGGUAGUAGCUGUAUCUUAAAUCACACAUACAGAUCUCAGUGCUUAAGGUCGGCUUCAAUGAAACAACCCACCAUGUACUCCUACAUGGCCUCUCAUCGAUACCUUUACCAAAUCGUGUUCACCACACCACUCUCAUUACCGACAUAAUCAUUUCACUCUAGCCCAUCACCCAGAUGAACCAGACCUGACAUGACUCUAAGCAUAGCAGGCAUAGCAAGGUAGGAACAACACAUACAUAUGGCUCACUCAACUCCUACACAUGCUAGUGGGUUUCAUCUAGUUACUGUGGCAAUGACAGGUCAUGCAGAGGAAAUGGGUUCAACUACCGUAGCACACAACAGUUUGAAACGCGUUGUCUUAAUGCAGUAAAAGAGAGCAGGAGGGAGAACAUGGGAUUGUAUCGAUAUGAUCAAAUGGUUGGUUGCUUGCCUGAUGGUUCGAUGCACUGAUACGGUUCUUCGUUAGGGUAAUCACGGUACUCCUCGGAGGCAGAACCUGCCGCAAAGAACACCGAUACACAACCAUCACCAAACAAUGUGCAACAAUAUGAUGCAUGCAUGAAACAUAGCAAUAUGAGUGUGUUGGGCUAAUGCAACUAAGACCAGAAGGGUUUGAACCAAUUUGAAUCAAAGAUUCAAAUUUCAAACUCAAACAUGGCCCUUUAAAGUGUUUUUCCUUGUUCUGCAUUAAACAUCAGGUUAACUUGUUUAAUCAUGCAUGAAAAUAGUACAGAUGGAUAGAUUGGAUUUUUUCUGAUCAUUUUUCAUAUAUAAUUUGUCUGAUUUGGAGUUACAGAAUAAAAGUUAUGAAUUUUUAAAGUUUAAACUAUAUUCUAGAAUUUCCUAUAUUAGAUUAAUUCCAGAAAAUCAAUUAUUGCGUCAGCCUGACGUCAGUGUGACGUUAGCAGGUCAACGGGACACGUCCGGGUCAAACCUGACAGUGGGUCCCGCGUGUCAGUGUGAUUAGAUUAAUUAAAGUUUAAUUAAAACUAAACCUGUUUAAUUAACAGGGCUGGGCCCCACCUGUCAUAGACUCAGGGGAGUCAACCAGGGCCCACCCGUGGUCAAACCCGGGUCGGCUGCAUCGGCGUUUAGCCGCCGGCGAGCCCGACGCGGCGGCGGAAGUGGUUUUGGCUGUUUCGGCCACCAAAUGGGUCGCGGAGACCACCGGAGUGGAGCUGAGGACGAGCCGCAACUCUUGGUGGAGUCCGUUGGGGUCGGGGUGGCCGGAGUUGGCGCCGGCGACGACUUUGGCAGCCACCGGGGUUCGGCCAAAGACGAACUUGACGCUAGAGGGGUCGGUGAGGCGCGGGGAGUAGCUAGCUAGGUGCUACGUGACGCGGUGAGCAUGAUGGACACCGUGGAGUGGUCGGAGGGUGACCGGGAGCACGUCGGCGACGAGCUCCACGGUGGUGGGUGCGGUUGAGCUCCGGGAGGUCGCUACACAGCUCGGGAGCAAGAAAAGGAGGGGGGAAGAUGGCUAAGCUCACAGUGAGUGCGACGAAGCCCUUGCUGCGGCCGGGGAUGGACCGGAGCGACGACGGCAUCGAAGGGGAUCUCCGGCGACGGCGGUUUGGGCGAGGUCGUUGCGGUGGACUCGGGCGUUGCGAGCGCUCGGGGCUCGGCUUGCUCGAUGAAGUGGACAGCGGCGGAGCUCCUGGACACGAUGAGAGGACGCACGGGCGGCGGGGAGCACGGCUACGAUGUAGGCACGGCGGUGGUGGCGUCGGUCAUGGCGGGGGAGCGCGAGGGGGAGGAGCUGGAGAGGAGAGGGGGUGUCUGGGGGGUUCGGGGGAGAGAGGGAGGCUGAUCCACGACGUCACCGGGCGAGGGGAGCGGCGAGGCGGCGAGCAGGUGCGUGGCGCGCGCUGCGGUCGCCGUCGGGCACCUGCCUGCCUGCCUGGCCGGCAAGCAGCUCGCUGGAGCGGCGCUGGGCUGGGCCGGUAGGUGGGCCGGGAGCUGGCGUCGGGUAAGUUUUUCCAUUUUUUCUGUUUUUUGUAUUUUUUAAUACUUCUACAACUUUGUUGAAUUAAAUAAAAUACUUAGGCAACUCCUAAAAUCACCAAACUACUCCUGGUCCAUAGUUGGAUUAUUUCCAACAUGAAACAUUUUAGUUUGGAGAUAUUUGAGCAUUUAAAUAUUUUAUAUAAUUUUAAAUGCCCAAAUUCAAAUAUUUAUGAUUUAAUUCAAAAACCCUAAGAUGGCCUAGGAAAAUGUGCAUCACUUUUGGCAGAGGUUCUGAACCAAGACAAAAAUGAUGGGCAUUUUAGAAGGGCAUUUCAGGUUCAUUGAAAAAGUUUUUAGUAAACCCUAAUUGGUUUCAGAGGGGACUGGGGUUCUGUCAUCCCCAUUUCAGGUUUCUGAUGAAAGAAUAAACAUGAUGCAACACUCUAAUGCAUGAACUAGCUAGGGUGUGACAUGUGUACGCAUUUCUUCUUCCCUCUGCAGUCCUUGUCCGUUUUGUACUCCUUGAGUUUAGAGGUUGUUCUUUCUUUCUUUUUGUCUGGUGAGCUGCUGGGUCUAACGUAUGUUGGACUCUCAUAUCUGCAAAUGUGAUUUUGUUAGUGCGUAUAGUUUCCUUAACAUAGUAUCAUGUAAUAUGAUUUAUUUUGUAAUCCCUCCGUAAAGAAAUAUAAGAGCGUUUAGAUUACUAAAGUAGUGAUCUAAACACUCUUAUAUCUCUAUAGAGAGAGUACUUAAUAGUGUUUUGCUUUUGCAGGCAUGCAAGUGCAUUUGGUGAUGACUACUAAUGGACGUUGUCACAUACAGUACAUCUGGAGAUUAAUGUUGUUUAUCUGGUAGGGAACUAAAAAUCAAUAAUUGUUCAACCAUGUUGCUCUUUUUGUAGCUUUCACAUUAUUAUCAUGGUAGUGUUAGGAUGCAUGAAAAAAGAGCUUUAUAGUUCAGUAUGAGAAGAGUUUUGACGCAAUGUUGAGCUGAGAUCAAAAUGCAGGCACACACAUGAAGAAUUGCAUCGGGAUAUUACCUGAGGCCGAUGGUGCUGAUGUUGUGUCUUCAGUUCAUUGGACGUUUCUUUGUGCCUGUGAUCGUUUGGGUGUCGUCGGCGUAUAUUGGAUGCAAGUUGCUGGAGUUGUUGCCAUACCUUCAAUUUGUCAGCCGUCUCGUGUGUUUGAUCUUCCCGACAUCAUGAAAAAGUAGCUAUUGAGAAAGUACAUCAUGGGUCAUUUAUGAAUGUAUGUCUUGUAAAAUUAUGGUUGAAUGAUGUUUAUGUGAUAUAAGCAGAGGGAUGAGUGUAUGUGACCAUACCUCUUGUUUGUUUUCUGAGACUAUGAUCUAGCAAUUUGACUAAUGUAGAUCACCUGAGGAGAAAGUUUUUGUGAGAAUAUGUUGGCUGAUAAGGAAGCUAAAAUAAUGCACGGAUUAAAGAGAGAAAAUAUAUAAUACCCUGGAACCUUUGCCUGCUUAGUCGUCGAGUUGCUUCGAAUUUGAGAAGACGGAUCAGUCGGCGAUGAGGCUUGUUGUGCUAGUAGGACGUGAUAUGAUGCACUUUAUAUAAUGAUAUGGUUAGAUGUUUUCCAAGACAUGUAGGAUUAGGAAUCAUGUAGUGAGUCAAAAUGUAGUGAGUCAAAAUCGGAC
rnacentral:lncRNA from 1 species